rnacentral:rRNA from 1 species
UUCUGGCUCAGGAUGAACGCUGGCGGCGUGCUUAACACAUGCAAGUCGAACGAAACACCGGAUCUGAUUCUCGGAUUGAUUAUCCGGUGACUUAGUGGCGGACGGGUGAGUAACGCGUGGGUAACCUGCCUCAUACAGGGGGAUAACAGUUAGAAAUGACUGCUAAUACCGCAUAAGCGCACAGCACCGCAUGGUGCAGUGUAGAAAAGCUCCGGCGGUAUGAGAUGGACCCGCGUUAGAUUAGCCAGUUGGCGGGGUAACGGCCCACCAAAGCGACGAUCUAUAGCCGGCCUGAGAGGGCGACCGGCCACAUUGGGACUGAGACACGGCCCAGACUCCUACGGGAGGCAGCAGUGGGGAAUAUUGCACAAUGGGGGAAACCCUGAUGCAGCGACGCCGCGUGAGUGAAGAAGUUAUUUCGGUAUGUAAAGCUCUAUCAGCAGGGAAAGAAAAAGGACGGUACCUGACUAAGAACGCCCCGGCUAACUACGUGCCAGCAGCAGC